UUAAGACAUAAAUGACUGCGUUUAUGUAAUAUGUAAUAUUAAAUAAUAUCAGUGAACUCCAGGUGCAUUUCACUCUCAAUAAGAUUUCAUGCAUGAGGUAACAUUUUCUUUCUUCAACCUCGGAAAUCUCUUCUGAUUGUUUGAUAACUUUUGACAAUAUUUAAUCCAAGAGUUAAGAUAAGGAGAGGGAAACAUAGCAGGCUAAAAGCAGUAUGUGAAAUUCCCUAAAGCAGCACACAAAAAGUACAUGGAUGUCUUACUAUUUAGGCCAAGAUUAUGAAGUAUACAUACCAGUGGAUGAUUUACUAUCCCAUGGGGCCACAUACUGCAUAACCAGUAAUGCCUGUCACCCUCAACAUGAACAUGGCAAUGCCUUCCUGGUUUGACAUAGUUAGUCUCAAUCAUGAGGCAGAGGAAGAUGAAACUGGAAUUAAAAGAGCUGCUGAAAGCAUCAAAGCACUGAUUGAUCAAGAAGUUAAAAAUGGUAUUCCAUCUCAUAGAAUUGUGUUGGGAGGUUUCUCUCAGG